GAUGAACGCUGACAGAAUGCUUAACACAUGCAAGUCGAGGGGGAAGUGGUGCUUGCACCAUGGUAACCAUGGCGGACGGGUGAGUAACGCGUAAGGAACUUGCCUGCGGGACUGGGAUAACAGCAGGAAACUGCUGAUAAUACCGGAUAAGGUCAUUAAGCUGCAUAGCUUAGUGAUGAAAGGAGACGCCUGCGGAGAGCCUUGCGUCCUAUUAGCUAGUUGGAGGGGUAACGGCCCACCAAGGCGAAGAUAGGUAGCCGGCCGGAGAGGGUGGACGGCCACAAGGGGACUGGGAUACGGCCGUUACUCCUACGGGAGGCAGCAGUGGGGAAUAUUGGACAAUGGGGGCAACCCUGAUCCAGCAAUUCUGUGUGCACGAAGACGGUUUUCGGAUUGUAAAGUGCUUUCAGCAGGGAAGAAGGAAGUGACGGUACCUGCAGAAGAAGCGACGGCUAAAUACGUG
rnacentral:rRNA from 1 species